UACGAACCGUACGAACGUUAUUCGGAAUCACUGGGCUUAAAGGGUGCGUAGGCGGCGCGGCAAGUUGGGUGUGAAAUCCCUCGGCUCAACCGAGGAACUGCGUCCAAAACUGCCGUGCUCGAGGGAGACAGAGGUGAGCGGAACUUAGGGUGGAGCGGUGAAAUGCGUUGAUAUCCUAAGGAACACCGGUGGCGAAAGCGGCUCACUGGGUCUCUUCUGACGCUGAGGCACGAAAGCUAGGGUAGCGAACGGG
rnacentral:rRNA from 1 species